AGCGAACGCUGGCGGCAGGCCUAACACAUGCAAGUCGAACGAACUCUUCGGAGUUAGUGGCGGACGGGUGAGUAACACGUGGGAACGUGCCUUUAGGUUCGGAAUAACUCAGGGAAACUUGUGCUAAUACCGAAUGUGCCCUUCGGGGGAAAGAUUUAUCGCCUUUAGAGCGGCCCGCGUCUGAUUAGCUAGUUGGUGAGGUGACGGCUCACCAAGGCGACGAUCAGUAGCUGGUCUGAGAGGAUGACCAGCCACACUGGGACUGAGACACGGCCCAGACUCCUACGGGAGGCAGCAGUGGGGAAUCUUGCGCAAUGGGCGAAAGCCUGACGCAGCCAUGCCGCGUGAAUGAUGGAGGUCUUAGGAUUGUAAAAUUCUUUCACCGGGGACGAUAAUGACGGUACCCGGAGAAGAAGCCCCGGCUAACUUCGUGCCAGCCGCCGCCGUAAGAC
rnacentral:rRNA from 1 species